rnacentral:rRNA from 1 species
CUAUGCGCCUUGCCAGCCCGCUCAGUCAGAGUUUGAUCCUGGCUCAGAACGAACGCUGGCGGCGCGCUUAACACAUGCAAGUCGAACGAGAAGGCGUAGCAAUACGCUUGUAAAGUGGCGAACGGGUGAGGAAUACAUGGGUAACCUACCCUCGAGUGGGGGAUAACCCGCCGAAAGGCGAGCUAAUACCGCGUACGCUUCCGAUCUUGCGGGAUUGGAAGGAAAGCUGUCCCAAGGGGAUGGCGCUCAAGGAUGGGCUCAUGUCCUAUCAGCUUGUUGGUAGGGUAACGGCCUACCAAGGCAUCGACGGGUAGCUGGUCUGAGAGGACGAUCAGCCACACUGGCACUGCGACACGGGCCAG